UGUCGUCUGCUAAAUAGCGCAAGAGAUUGCUACCGAUGCAGAGAAGAAACGCGUUAUGACGCACGCUCUUCAAUUCGGACAAAUUACGCAUGCGUGCUUGCACUGUUGAAAACACAAGCGCAUGCUGAAGGUUGAACAGAAAAAAGUGCAUCUUGCGGAGGCUCGUCACGUGUUUUCUGCAGUGUGCGCGAGGAAUAUGACGUCAACAUUCAUCACGUGAUCACCAGUAGUGUUCAAGAUUAGUUGUUUGUUUAUAAUGCAGCUACGAUUCUACGAAUGUGGUUUGGGUGAAGCCUGUAGCAGUCACUGGCUGAAAUGAAAUUCGAUUAUAUGUAAAGCAUGAAAUGAGCCUCAUAGAAACAUUCUGAUUUGAAGAUUUCAGCUCUUAUUUGAUGACACAACAGAAACGUAGUAACAAAGUAGGUACAUUGUCAUAUUGUUCGUAGGCAUGUUGACAGACUGAAAGACUUAAUGUGAACUCUACUUGGAACACGGAAGCCACUAACAUACUAAAUAUGUAAAUGUAAAACAAGAGGCGGAAGCACAACGAGCCAUUUCACUUUACAACUUAACAAAGAAUUUAGACCAUACAUGUCUAAACGAAAGUGACGCAUUUUGAGGUAUAUAAUACUGCAGGGCCAAACAGUAUCACGAAACACACGACAGGAACAUGAUCACGAAAGUAUGCGUAGAAAUAGUUGAAGAUUGAUAAAUUGAACGUCUUUGUUGGAACUGGUUGUGACUUUGUAUUUCAAUGUUAACUUUGCCAACGAAGUGCAGAUUUUCUUUACUGCCGCGCUCGGUAUCUAAUGCAAACACUAUUUUAUCACAAUGUGUACAGUAUGGUUCAGUGUAGUUUGGCGCUGUUGAAAUCUAUGAUAAACUAAGAAGUGAAUUAACUGCUGGCGAGGGCAACGAUAGCAAAAUAAUGUGGAUUGAGAGAUUCUGAAUAACAACUAGAGAAUUAAAAAAGUAAACGUUAUACGAUGUGCCUCAGCAUAUUAAAUUUUCGAUGAGUGACUAUAUUUUAUUUGUGCAAAUUGUGAUAGUGCGAAUGCCAAACGAAUAGAGGUAAAGGUAUAAUUAAUAAAGUCCCAACAAGGCGCAAUGAAUAAUUUGUAGGCAUUGGGAAAUUCUUCAGAUACUCCCGAGUUUUCCCACACAGGGAAAAAUGCCCCAUAAUUUGUAGUUAUGAUUGAACAGUAUACGCCAAAUAAAUAACAAUUUAGAAAAUCUAAAUCAGGAUAGCUCUGUGUCCACUGGAAUAUAAUACGUGGUUUCAUUGUUACUGAGUAACCUGUUUGGGAUUCUGGUUUCUAGUAUAGUGAUGAAUUAGGCUACUACAUGUUGGACCUCACCGGAAACUUAACCUUUCGAAACAGUAGUAGGGUAUCAUCACACACUUAUCAUUAAUUUAUCAAGGAAAUAAAUAACUUGUUGUAAUAGCAAUAUGUGUUAGUAUAAACUUCCAAUUUGUUGAAUGAGAAAAUAUUUUCAAUGAUUAGAUCUGUGAGACUUCAUAUAUUGAAUUGAAAUUUGCUGCUUUGCUUAAAAUUCAGUUUAUUAUGUAGCUCCAGAGUCAGGCUCUAGAAUAUCAAUAUUGGUUAGAUCCCCAUUUAUUAUAACACGGGAUCACACUGCUUGUUGUAGACUGUGUACCUACCGAUUCUCUUCAGUCCACAUUUUGCUCAGUUGUUCAUGUUCACUGCAUAUUCUUAAUAAAUCCUGUAUACCACUUAGUCUUUAAACUAAGAAUAUAUGCUUAAGACUUCUAUUACAUUUAUUGCCAUGUAAUCAUUGUACACAAAUAAUAGAUACAUAACAUAUUAAUAGCAUGUUUGUCUUGUGAUAAUGACUCAA